rnacentral:rRNA from 1 species
UGGGGAAUAUUGCACAAUGGGGGAAACCCUGAUGCAGCGACGCCGCGUGGAGGAAGAAGGUCUUCGGAUUGUAAACUCCUGUUGUUGAGGAAGAUAAUGACGGUACUCAACAAGGAAGUGACGGCUAACUACGUGCCAGCAGCCGCGGUAAAACGUAGGUCACAAGCGUUGUCCGGAAUUACUGGGUGUAAAGGGAGCGCAGGCGGGAGAACAAGUUGGAAGUGAAAUCCAUGGGCUCAACCCAUGAACUGCUUUCAAAACUGUUUUUCUUGAGUAGUGCAGAGGUAGGCGGAAUUCCCGGUGUAGCGGUGGAAUGCGUAGAUAUCGGGAGGAACACCAGUGGCGAAGGCGGCCAACUGGGCUUUUACUGACGCUGAGGCUCGAAAGUGUGGGGAGCAAACAGGAUUAGAUACCCUGGUAGUCCACACCGUAAACGAUGAUUACUAGGUGUGGGGGGACUGACCCCUUCCGUGCCGGAGUUAACACAAUAAGUAAUCCACCUGGGGAGUACGGCCGCAAGGUUGAAACUCAAAGGAAUUGACGGGGGCCCGCACAAGCAGUGGAGUAUGUGGUUUAAUUCGACGCAACGCGAAGAACCUUACCAGGUCUUGACAUCGUAUGCAUAAUGUAGAGAUACACGAAGUCCUUCGGGACAUACAGACAGGUGGUGCAUGGUUGUCGUCAGCUCGUGUCGUGAGAUGUUGGGUUAAGUCCCGCAACGAGCGCAACCCUUAUUGCCAGUUACUACGUUAAGAGGACUCUGGCGAGACUGCCGUUGACAAAACGGAGGAAGGUGGGGAUGACGUCAAAUCAUCAUGCCCUUUAUGACCUGGGCUACACACGUACUACAAUGGCGUUAAACAAAGAGAAGCAAGACCGCGAGGUGGAGCAAAACUCAAAAAUAACGUCCCAGUUCGGACUGUAGUCUGCAACCCGACUACACGAAGCUGGAAUCGCUAGUAAUCGCGAAUCAGAAUGUCGCGGUGAAUACGUUCCC